AGAGUUUGAUCAUGGCUCAGGAUGAACGCUGGCGGUAUGCUUAACACAUGCAAGUCGAACGGAAUGCUUCGGCAUUUAGUGGCGGACGGGUGAGUAACGCGUGAGAAUCUGGCUUUAGGUUCGGGACAACAGUGGGAAACUGCUGCUAAUACCGAAUGUGCCGUAAGGUGAAAGAUUAAUUGCCUGAAGAUGAGCUCGCGUCUGAUUAGCUAGUUGGUAGGGUAAAGGCCUNCCAAGGCGACGAUCAGUAACUGGUCUGAGAGGAUGACCAGUCACACUGGGACUGAGACACGGCCCAGACUCCUACGGGAGGCAGCAGUGGGGGAAUUUUCCCGCAAUGGGCGAAAAGCCUGACGGGAGCAAUACCGCGUGAGGGAGGAAGGCUCUUGGGUUGUAANCCUCUUUUCUCAGGGAAGAACAAAAUGACGGUACCUGAGGAAUAAGCAUCGGCUAACUCCGUGCCAGCAGCCGCGGUAAUACGGAGGAUGCAAGCGUUAUCCGGAAUUAUUGGGCGUAAAGCGUCCGCAGGUGGCAAUUCAAGUCUGCUGUUAAAGGUUCUGGCUCAACCAGGAACAGGCAGUGGAAACUGAAUAGCUAGAGUGCGGUAGGGGCAGAGGGAAUUCCCAGUGUAGCGGUGAAAUGCGUAGAGAUCAGGAAGAACACCGGUGGCGAAAGCGCUCUGCUGGACCUUAACUGACACUGAGGGACGAAAGCUAGGGGAGCGAAUGGGAUUAGAUACCCCCGUAGUCC
rnacentral:rRNA from 1 species